GGGUGGAAUAUUAAAGAUGAUAGAUAGUACACCUAAUAAGCAUGAAAGAUUAGAUGUGUAAAAUUAAAUAGUACUACUACUGUUAUACCAGAAUUAAUUUGUACACCCAUCAAGAUUAGUACUGCUGUCUAUAUGGAGUAUUUUACAACAAUGAAAUGAAAUGAAAUAUGAAGCCCACCCAAAAUUUUAAGCAAUAAUUAAUAAAGAAAAUCAAAAAGAAAAGAAAGUAGCUGAUCCUCCCUCCUCAUGAACUGGUCCGUCCGUCCGUCCAAUUAAUUAAGAAGUAAUUAAUCCAAUUCCAAUUAGUUAAUCUCGGGGAUAGUUUGAAGGACAGGCCUCCAUGACCGUUGAUAAUGAAUUUCAAAAUGAUCUUCAUAAUUCCUAUCGUUGAUCAAGCGAGCAAGAACUUGGUCCACAGAAAUGCCGUGCACCUCAGCUCUUCCUAGCAACUCCUCUAGCUGCUUCUUUGUAAUCUUAAUCUUUAUUUCUCUGUAAGAAUUAGAAGAAGAUAGCAAUGAGAAAUUAUUAUGGUGAUCAAGCAAUAGGCUUUCCUUUUCUGUAUUGUGUGGUGUCGACACCAUUGAAGUUGAUGAUGCUUCAACUGAUCUACAACACGAGUUUCCCAUUAAUUAUAGAUGUAUAUGUACGUGUUUUUUAUAAGAGGAUUUUAGGACCCUGAGGAGUGAGGAUUGUGUUGGGACUUGCAGCUGUGAGAGGAGAAGAUAGAAGGAUAGAGAUGAGGGGAGAUGCAUAUAUAUAGAGAGAGAGAGAGAAAGAAAGAGGGGGAAAG
rnacentral:lncRNA from 1 species